UCUCUCACCUGGCAAGGGAGAGAUUAUGAUUACAAGGGGGUUUUCCCAGGGUGAGGCUUAUCCAUUGUGCUCCAAGUAUGGUGACCACUGCCAUAUCCCCACUUGCAGGAAACUUGACUGCAUAAGUGGUGGUGGGGAACUAUCUUUAGACUUGCCCCUG
rnacentral:snRNA from 1 species